rnacentral:rRNA from 1 species
CAAAGAGGGGGACCUUCGGGCCUCUCGCGUCAGGAUAUGCCUAGGUGGGAUUAGCUAGUUGGUGAGGUAAGGGCUCACCAAGGCGACGAUCCCUAGCUGGUCUGAGAGGAUGAUCAGCCACACUGGAACUGAGACACGGUCCAGACUCCUACGGGAGGCAGCAGUGGGGAAUAUUGCACAAUGGGCGCAAGCCUGAUGCAGCCAUGCCGCGUGU